rnacentral:rRNA from 1 species
UAACGCGUGGAUAACCUGCCUUGCACUGUGGGAUAACACUUAGAAAUAGGUGCUAAUACCGCAUAAGCGCACAGAGCCGCAUGGCUCAGUGUGAAAAACUCCGGUGGUGUAAGAUGGAUCCGCGUCUGAUUAGCUAGUUGGCGGGGUAGAAGCCCACCAAGGCGACGAUCAGUAGCCGGCCUGAGAGGGUGAACGGCCACAUUGGGACUGAGACACGGCCCAAACUCCUACGGGAGGCAGCAG